UGCUCCGCCAGGAACCCUGAGCCAAGGAUCGAUUUAUUGAUCCGAGUCCCACAUUAGCACUAUCUCUACAAUAAUAACAUUUUUAUCUCGAUUCCGAAUCAUAUAAACUAUUCUCUGACGAAUAUUUGAACAAACAUAUGUUAAAUAAACUGUGAAGAAUAUGUAGACUGAAAUAUAAACAUCUGUGCUCCUCCUGCAUUAAUAUACACGUUGAAUUUACCUUAGCAAUGAAAUUUGAUCCUGCUCUUGGAUAAAUAAAUCAAAGCAUGUUUCAGGUUGAAUAAAUCAUUGAUUUAGAACAUUAUUUUCUUCGUGGAGAGAGAUCAAGUAUCGUUUAAGUUCUAAGCUGAUAGAGACUUUAUUAGAUUAUUAGGAUAUUUUAUACAAACCAGGGUGACCCACAUCAAGGAUUAUGCUUAACUCUUGUAAAGGAUUUCGAUAAAACGUGUUAAAAUAUUUUAAUUUUGAAGAUCUAUAAUUUGAAUUGUCAAAUAAAAAUUGAACGACUCCAGUGUAAGUAAUAAAGUAAAAUUUAUGUUACUCAAUUUGUUUAAAGUACAAAUGAUACAAAACAAGUUUUUAAGAAUCACGAUCUAGACAGAGAAUGAAGAGAAAGCGUAGAUACGGAACAAUGUUUCGGAUGUAUCAACUAAAGAGUAAAAAUUUAAUACAAAGGACUUGAGUAGAACGGAUUAAAAGAAUAGAGGAUAUUAUAUACUAGAAUAAAAAAUAAAUAAAGAAUGCUAGA